rnacentral:rRNA from 1 species
AUUGAACGCUGGCGGUAUGCUUAACACAUGCAAGUCGAACGGUAACAGAGGAGAGCUUGCUCUCCUGCUGACGAGUGGCGGACGGGUGAGUAACGCGUAGGAAUCUGCCCAGUGGUGGGGGACAACCUGGGGAAACCCAGGCUAAUACCGCAUACGCCCUACGGGGGAAAGCGGGGGAUCUUUUAGACCUCGCGCCAUUGGAUGAGCCUGCGUUAGAUUAGCUAGUUGGUGGGGUAAAGGCCUACCAAGGCGACGAUCUAUAGCUGGUCUGAGAGGACGAUCAGCCACACUGGGACUGAGACACGGCCCAGACUCCUACGGGAGGCAGCAGUGGGGAAUAUUGGACAAUGGGCGCAAGCCUGAUCCAGCAAUACCGCGUGUGUGAAGAAGGCCUGAGGGUUGUAAAGCACUUUCAGAAGGGAGGAAAAAGUCAGGGCCAAUACCCCUGACCUUGACAUUACCUUCAGAAGAAGCACCGGCUAACUCCGUGCCAGCAGCCGCGGUAAUACGGAGGGUGCGAGCGUUAAUCGGAAUUACUGGGCGUAAAGCGUACGUAGGCGGUCUGUUAAGUCAGAAGUGAAAGCCCUGGGCUUAACCUGGGAACGGCUUUUGAGACUGGCAGACUAGAGUUGAGUAGAGGGGAGUGGAAUUUCCGGUGUAGCGGUGAAAUGCGUAGAGAUCGGAAGGAACACCAGUGGCGAAGGCGACUCCCUGGACUCAAACUGACGCUGAGGUACGAAAGCGUGGGUAGCAAACAGGAUUAGAUACCCUGGUAGUCCACGCCGUAAACGAUGUCAACUAACCGUUGGGACCUUUAAGGUCUUAGUGGUGGAGCUAACGUAUUAAGUUGACCGCCUGGGGAGUACGGCCGCAAGGCUAAAACUCAAAUC